AGAAUGAACGCUGGCGGCGUGGUUAAGACAUGCAAGUCGAACGGUUUUUCGGGUGUAGCAAUACACACGAAAGACAGUGGCGAACGGGUGCGUAACACGUGAACAAUCUACCUUCAAAUGGGGAAUAGCUCGCCGAAAGGCGAAUUAAUACCGCAUACGGUUGGCCCUCUCCUGAGGACCAUACCAAAGUCAGGGACCGCAAGGCCUGACGUUAGAAGAGGAGUUCGCGGCCUAUCAGCUAGUUGGCGAGGUAACGGCUCACCAAGGCUAAGACGGGUAGCUGGUCUGAGAGGAUGAUCAGCCACACUGGAACUGAGA
rnacentral:rRNA from 1 species